rnacentral:misc_RNA from 1 species
UUGCUUUAAUUUAAUCAUAGACUUAGACAUACGACACGAUUUAUUCAGCGUUUAAGUGGUUGGCUAUCGGCGGACACUGGCCAGAGGACGCCUUUCAGCGGUCCUCCGGCGGCCGUGAGACGGGUCCGCCGAAGCAACAGAGGUUCAAUAAACAUAGGGUUGGGAGGUCGGGCCUGGAAGACCCUAACUCGUUAAUGAUCCUUCCGCAGGUUCACCUACGGAAA